rnacentral:rRNA from 1 species
GACGAGUCUCACGAACGUUAUUCGGAAUUACUGGGCUUAAAGGGUGCGUAGGCGGUGGAGUAAGUCGGAUGUGAAAUACCAUAGCUUAACUAUGGAACUGCACUCGAUACUACUUUGCUAGAGUAAGACAGAGGUGAGUGGAACUGAGGGUGGAGCGGUGAAAUGCGUUGAUAUCCUCAGGAACACCGGUGGCGAAGGCGACUCACUGGGUCUUUACUGACGCUGAGGAGCGAAAGCGUGGGGAGCGAACAGG